GAGAAGUGGUUGAGUGGUUAAGAACACUGGUUUCUUCCAGAAGACCUGGGUUCAAUUCCCAGCACUCA
rnacentral:tRNA from 1 species